rnacentral:rRNA from 1 species
GACGUACCACCCAAACGUUAUUCGGAAUCACUGGGCUUAAAGAGUCCGUAGGCGGCCUGGAAAGUUGGGUGUGAAAUACCUCAGCUCAACUGAGGAAUGGCGCUCAAAACUACCUGGCUCGAGAAAGACAGAGGUGAGCGGAACUGAUGGUGGAGCGGUGAAAUGCAUUGAUAUCAUCAGGAACACCGGUGGCGAAAGCGGCUCACUGGGUCUUUUCUGACGCUGAGGGACGAAAGCUAGGGGAGCGAACGGG